GGAUGCUGCAAAUGCAUUGGGGGGUAAACCUUUUAAUCCACCACAGCGACAUAUCUCCAACUCACGGAGUUGUGUGAGGCUGUCUAAACUUGGAAUAGCUUUGAGAUUCCCGCAAUUUAUUAUUGACAAGUGCUCAAGAGAGGUACAAUGUUGUAACCCAUUUGGUAGGCUUGAUAAUUCAGCACAAAAUGAAAUCUUUAAUUGGCGGAGGGAUGGAAGGCCGUGUGUGAUUGGAAUAGCUUCGAGAUUCCCGCAAUGCCUUAUUGACAAGUGCUCAAGAGAGGUACAAUGUUGUAACCCACUCGGUAGGCUUGAUAAUUCAUCACAAUUUACAAUCUCUAAUUCGCGGAGGGAUGGGAGGCCGUGUGUAAUUGGAAUAGCUUCGAGAUUCCCG
rnacentral:lncRNA from 1 species